rnacentral:lncRNA from 1 species
CCCCUCCCCCCCCCUCCCCCCGGCACCUCCGCCCGAACGGCCGCGGGCGGCGCGGGACAGCGGGAAGGCGCGCGAGGGGCCGGGAGUGGAGCGGGUGGGGCUGGAUGUGUGCUGCAGUGACCGGACGAGCACAAAGCUGGGGGAAAAGUGAAGGGGACAGUGUCCCGGUGACAGCUCUCUGCUCCGCUCUGAGCGGGAGAGCCCUUCCCGAGCGAUUUUCAGUGCGCGGUGCAAUUCGUCUGUCUUUUUAAGCCUAGUUACCGCUGAAGAUAUCUUUUCCUGUGCUGGGGGCAGCUCCUGCUGCAUCACUGCUGCCCGGCUCUGCUGCGGGGGGGCUCAGGAGCGAGUGCCACAGAAGGAAGACGGCAGAUAACGUAUAGCACGUGUAACGAUUCACGUUAGUUACUUUGCGAGGGAUAAAAAGAAGCUUUUCUAAUAGGGUAACAGACAUGAAAACGCAGAGCUUUGGAACAGGUGCUCACAGAAAUAGGAGAGCCUCCCCACCUGGAAGUAUUGAGGAGACAUGUGGAUGUGGCACCGAGGGACCUGGUUUAGUGACUGGAAUCGAUUGCCUUUAGUAAAAGUGCCCGAGUAGCUGUGCUUAACUUGUUUAGAUUCAACCUGAAAUGAAUCAGGAGCUGAUGGUAUAAGAUGCUAUUUAGGCAUGAGACCAAACCUCCCACCGAUUCAACUUAAACUCUGGAAUUGUUUGUUUCUGCUGUGGAGCAUCAAUGAAGUACGCAGCCAUGCAGUCAUUUCUCCGAACAUUCACAGACGAAGACUUGCUGUUCCAUAAAACUGCCAGUAUUUUAACAGGAAGAAGGAUGCCCUCUGUGCUGUAGAUAUUCAGAACUGCUCUCUGGUGAUCACUUGCUACUGUUUCAUUGUGUACGAUGUCUCAACAGCCUAGUUUCCUCCAUGGACCUACCACCUGAAAGUCUGGCUUUUUGAAGGAGCAGUGAAAGAGACUGCGAAGUAUCUUCUUACAGAUGAAUGGUUUUCCUCCUGAUUUCAGUCCAAAACCAUGACAGCAGUCCUCCCUCAAUCACUUUAAAAUUUCUCUUGAGACCAAACGUGGGAGAUAUGGGUUUGAAAAGUAGGCUGUCACCUGGAAGUGAUGGACAUAAAUGUUAUAAGUCUCACCAUCACCCCAGCAAUGUGAUUCUAUAGGAACAUUUGCAGUCAGUGGGGGACUCUAUCCACAAAGCAUCUUCUGAUGGAGGAACAAAAUCAAGAGAUGGAUGAGCACGAAGGAAAAGGAAGUCCUGUACUUCUUAACUUUCUAGUGCAGCAGUCCUGGCAAAGACUGCAAUGCACGCUCAUUUCAUUACCCUGCCCAGUGUGCUUUGAUCUCGUAUGGUUGUCCCCAGAUUAUAAAUCCUGAGGGACCAUUGAAUCAUCUGAUCUGACCUCUUGUGUGUUUGCAGGCUAUUAAAUUUCGUUCAUUACCCUUGUAUUGAUCUGAAGGUCUUUUGCCUGGCUACAGUUUGUGUUCCAGUGAUGCCUGUGGUAUUGAUCUGAAGACAUGAAAAGACUGAAUUCAUCAUUUCCACUAUUAUUGGUUUAAAUAUUAUCCCAUUCUCCCUAUUAAUUUUUUCUCCUUAUUUCUAAUUUUAUUUUGUCUCAUUUCAGUUUCGAGCCAUUAGGUUCCUGUUGGGAUUUUCGAUCCUAAACUGCAGAACAUUUCAAGCACUGCUUUCUUCUUGUGUGAAUGUUGGACCCAAAGGUAGUAACAGACUCAAAACGAGAGCCUUCGUUUCUCUCUAAAAUCCAUUUUCUGAUGCUCUCAAAUGAAUUCUGUUUGUUUUCUUUUUAACAGAUUCUCCAUUUUUCCUGCAUGUGUUUUUAAAAUACAGAUAUCUCAGCUUUCUAUUGUGUUACUGUAUCAGUUUCAUGAUGUUUUAUACAAGUGUAAAAUCAUUGCCCACUCCUAAUCUAUGCUUCUUUAGAGAACUGUAUGCAAGAAGGUUCUUCACCAGAAGAAAAUUUGCAGCUUUAUAGAGGUUUAUAAUUUUCUUUUAUUUGGGAGUUCUUAAUUUUUCACGAAGCAAAUUAUCAGAUGAAACGUAUGUAUCAAUCAGAGUAUACAUUUUCAUUUCUUCAGCUGCCAUCCUUCCACGGAGAUCUUGGUUUUGAUAAAUUCAGCACUUCGGUCAGGAUGAUGAAAAGCUGCUCUGCUCCUUGCUUCCAAUACAGAGACUGCACCAUCCCUGCUUAUACAGCACUGCAGCCAGAGCUCAUUCAUAACUGAUUGUCACCUAUGGGCUCUAGAUCUUUCACAGUCGCUGCUCUGUAGCCCCACAGCUAUUCAGAGGGACCUGCACUGCCCCUUCCUAGAUGAGUAAUGUGAGCACGUAUGGAUGUUUUCUGUUUGCAAAGCGCUCUUCUCAUCAGGCUACCCAUAUUCCUCUAUGACAUCUCUUCUCAUCUGUGAAUUUUAUCAGUUUUUGAUUCUGUCUGCAAAUUUUGCACCUGCUGGGAUGAUAGCAGACAUGGCUCUUUGUUUGCAGUGUAUCUUCAAUGCUUGCUGCUUUGGCAAGUUACCACCCAUCACUGAAACUCUUCACCGGACUCUCAUGUAGUAAGGAGAACCACUGGUCCCACAUAUUUCAUAUGUACUGUGUUUAUGUGUCCUAUCUGGUGCCAGCUCCUAAAGGUAUGGCUACCAAAACAUAAAGAAAAUCUCUUUCUGAAUAAGCAAAACUGGGGAAAAGCUCUUCUGCCUGCAGGACUGAGGAAGCUCUUAGGUAUUUAUAAGGAAUUGAUCAGAUGAAACUUGAAGUGAAAGGGCACCUUAGGCAGACUUUGGCCUCCAAGAAUAGAUAGUUGUUGCCAAAAAAGCCCGCACACUGUGACCACCACAUCCCAGCAGAAGAAUUUGCUGGGGAAGGGGCACACUAGAUUCUGCAACUGGAUGGCUCCCAUCAGCUGGGAAGAAAGUAGGCGGGAGCCAAGGCUGGGGCACUGCCCCCUCCCCAGCAGCCGUGGUUACUGUCAGUAGCUACCUUGAAGCUGAUACUUACAGACAACAGGAGAAAAUAGGGACAAAGCUGAACCCCUCAACCUAGGUGUCUGAAAGUGUUUAUCUGUAUGAUGGAGCCUGGCACAACAGUCUUUGGAGCAACUGAAAUUCUGGAAGCCAGAUGAGCAUACCGAUGAGAACUACAUCCCUUCAGAAGGCAUCACCACCCUGGCUGUACUGAGGCUGCUUGCAUGAAUACACAGAGACAACAGAGCACUUGCAGAGCCCCUCAUUCCUGGAAUAGCCAUGCAGAAACAGCUCCCCUCACACUGAGCUGGAUGCUCUGGGAGGAGAUGCGAUGCCUGAUAACAGAAGGUCAUCGGGAAACAUGCCGCUGCCCAUGAACCAGCCUAAUCCCACAGUUUUAUGUUUCUCUGAACAGCCUAGACACAGAUGCAACCUUUGCUGUGAAGGGGUCAUGAUGCCAUGCCCUGCUUUACAGAGGAGUGCUCCCUGCAGCACGAGUGCUUGCUGGUUCAGUCUGUGAUAUCCUCUUGAGAGAAAGUGAGGAUGGUGGAGCUGAGGAUCCAUCCUCCUCUUAUAUCACGUUAUUUCACACUGCUUUCUGGAGAUACACUUUCCGGCUUUUUCCUCCCAAACUACUCAGUAGAUCAUUAAUGUUGCUUUAUAUAGUAAAGAGAAAGCAGAGCUAAGACAGUAAUACGAUAUU